CGAACGAGAACGGGUUAUAGCUUGCUAUAAUUGUCAGCUAAGUGGCGCACGGGUGAGUAAUAUAUAGGUAACAUGCCUUCGAGAAGGGGAUAACGUUUGGAAACGGACGCUAAUACCCUAUAUGCCUUUAAGUCUUAAGACUGCAAGGGAAAUAUUUAUAGCUCGAAGAUUGGCCUGUACGGUAUCAGCUUGUUGGUGAGGUAAUGGCUCACCAAGGCUAUGACAUCUAACUGGUUUGAGAGGAUGAUCAGUCACACUGGAACUGAGACACGGUCCAGACUCCUACGGGAGGCAGCAGUGGGGAAUAUUGCACAAUGGACGAAAGUCUGAUGCAGCAACGCCGCGUGGAGGAUGACACAUUUCGGUGCGUAAACUCCUUUUAUAUGGGAAGAUAAUGACGGUACCAUAUGAAUAAGCACCGCUAACU
rnacentral:rRNA from 1 species